GCCAUGAUGAUCUCAAAAGAAUGAUUCGAACUGAUUAAAUUAUUAAUUCCUCUAAGAAGAUCUGAGCUA